rnacentral:rRNA from 1 species
UACAGAGACUGCAAGCGUUAUCCGGAUUCACUGGGCGUAAAGGGUGCGCAGGCGGCCAAGUGUGUCAGGCGUGAAAGCCCGGGGCUUAACCCCGGAAUUGCACCUCAAACUACAUGGCUAGAGCAUUGGAGAGGGUAGCAGAAUUCAUGGUGUAGCAGUGAAAUGCGUAGAUAUCAUGAGGAAUACCAGAGGCGAAGGCGGCUACCUGGACAAUUGCUGACGCUCAGGCACGAAAGCGUGGGGAGCAAAAGGG